rnacentral:rRNA from 1 species
ACUGCCUGAUGGAGGGGGAUAACUACUGAAACGGUAGCUAAUACCGCAUAACGUCGCAAAACCAAAGAGGGGGACUUUCGGGCCUCUUGCCAUCGGAUGUGCCCAGAUGGGAUUAGCUAGUAGGUGGGGUAACGGCUCACCUAGGCGACGAUCCCUAGCUGGUCUGAGAGGAUGACCAGCCACACUGGAACUGAGACACGGUCCAGACUCCUACGGGAGGCAGCAGUGGGGUAUAUUGCACAAUGGGCGCAAGCCUGAUGCAGCCAUGCCGCGUGUAUGAAGAAGGCCUUCGGGUUGUAAAGUACUUUCAGCGGGGAGGAAGGGAGUAAAGUUAAUACCUUUGCUCAUUGACGUUACCCGCAGAAGAAGCACCGGCUAACUCCGUGCCAGCAGCCGCGGUAAUACGGAGGGUGCAAGCGUUAAUCGGGAUUACUGGGCGUAAAGCGCACGCAGGCGGUUUGUUAAGUCAGAUGUGAAAUCCCCGGGCUCAACCUGGGAACUGCAUCUGAUACUGGCAAGCUUGAGUCUCGUAGAGGGGGGUAGAAUUCCAGGUGUAGCGGUGAAAUGCGUAGAGAUCUGGAGGAAUACCGGUGGCGAAGGCGGCCCCCUG